rnacentral:rRNA from 1 species
AAUGAACGCUGGCGGCAUGCCUAACACAUGCAAGUCGAACGAACCCUUCGGAUCCAUUGGCCCCCGGUGGCGUAACCCGUGGGAACCUGCCCUUGGGUUCGAAAUACCUCCCCGACUGGGGUGCUAUCGCGGGAUAGGGUCUUAUACCCAAAGAUUUUUCGCCUUGGAUUGGGCCGGAGUUGGAUACGUUCGUUGUGAGGGUAAUAGCUUACCAAGCCGACGAUCAAUAGCUGGCCUAAGAGGAUGAUCAGCCACACUGAGACGGAGACACGGCCCAGACUCCUACGGGAUGCAGCAGUGGGGAAUAGUGGACAAUGGGCGAAAGCCUGAUCGAGCAAUGCCGCGUGAGUGAUGAAGGCCUGAGGGUUGUAAAGCUCUUUUACCCGGGAUGAUAAUGACAGUACCGGGAGAAUAAGCUCCGGCUAACUCCGUG